AUAUAGUGCAGUUGUGAGUUUCCGUGUCCAACGUUUGACCGUAUGUUUUAUUUGAAAAAAUAUUAUGAUUAGUAUUUUUAUUGUUAUUAGAUGAUAAAACAUGAAUUGUACUUUAUAUGUGACUAUUUAAAAAAAAUCAUAAAUUUUUCAAAUAAGACGGAUGGUCAAACGUUGAACACAUAAACCCACAACUGCACUUAUA
rfam:Oryza glaberrima chromosome 3 Oglab03_0155_8, whole genome shotgun sequence.